rnacentral:rRNA from 1 species
UACGGAGGGCGCAAGCGUUGCCCGGAAUCACUGGGUGUAAAGGGUGCGUAGGCGGCUUUGCAAGUCGGGUGUGAAAGCCCUGGGCUCAACCUGGGAAUGGCAUUGGAUACUGGCAGGCUAGAGUGCGGUAGAGGGUAGUGGAAUUCCCGGUGUAGCAGUGAAAUGCGUAGAGAUCGGGAGGAACAUCUGUGGCGAAGGCGACUACCUGGACCAGCACUGACACUGAGGCUCGAAAGCGUGGGGAGCAAACAGG